UACGUAGGGUGCAAGCGUUAAUCGGAAUUACUGGGCGUAAAGCGUGCGCAGGCGGCCAUGCAAGACAGAUGUGAAAUCCCCGGGCUUAACCUGGGAACUGCAUUUGUGACUGCAUGGCUGGAGUACGGUAGAGGGGGAUGGAAUUCCGCGUGUAGCAGUGAAAUGCGUAGAUAUGCGGAGGAACACCGAUGGCGAAGGCAAUCGCCUGGGCCUGUACUGACGCUCAUGCACGAAAGCGUGGGGAGCAAACAGG
rnacentral:rRNA from 1 species